AUUGAACGCUGGCGGCAGGCCUAACACAUGCAAGUCGAGCGAGCGGCGGACGGGUGAGUAUUGCCAAGGAAUCUGCCUGGUAGUGGGGGAUAACGUCCGGAAACUGUCGCUAAUACCGCGUACCAUAGGAUGAGCCCAAGGGGGAUUAGGUCGGUGGUGGGGUAAUGGCCUACCAAGCCGACGACCUCUAGCUGGUCUGAGAGGAUGACCAGCCACACCGGGACUGAGACACGGCCCGGAAUCCUACGGGAGGCAGCAGUGGGUAAUAUUGCGCAAUGGGGGCAACCUGACGCAGCCAUGCCGCGUGAAUGAAGAAGGCCUUCGGGUUGUAAAGUUCUUUCGGCGACGAGGCGUUACUCACAGAAGAAGCACCGGCUAACUACGUGCCAGCCGCCGCGGUAAUAC
rnacentral:rRNA from 1 species